rnacentral:rRNA from 1 species
GUCAGAGCACGUUAAAGUGUGAUGGCGUACAUCUUGCAGUAUGGGCCGGCGAGUUAUGUUAAUAUGCAAGGUUAAGCAGAAAAAAGCGGAGCCGUAGGGAAACCGAGUCUGAAUAGGGCGACUUUAGUAUAUUGGCAUAUACCCGAAACCAGGUGAUCUAUCCAUGAGCAGGUUGAAGCUUAGGUAAAACUAAGUGGAGGACCGAACCGUAGUACGCUAAAAAGUGCCCGGAUGACUUGUGGAUAGCGGUGAAAAAAGUU